rnacentral:rRNA from 1 species
AGCCAUGACUAGUUGUACGAGUUGAGACUCGUAGCAGAUAGCUCAGUAACACGUGGCCUAACUACCCUAUGGAUCCAGACAACCUCGGGAAACUGAGGCUAAUCUGGAAUAGGGCUCUCAUCCUGGAGUGGAGAGAGCCUGAAAUGCUCCGGCGCCAUAGGAUGUGGCUGCGGCCGAUUAGGUAGACGGUGGGGUAACGGCCCACCGUGCCAGUAAUCGGUACGGGUUGUGAGAGCAAGAGCCCGGAGACGGUAUCUGAGACAAGAUACCGGGCCCUACGGGGCGCAGCAGGCGCGAAACCUUUACACUGCACGCCAGUGCGAUAAGGGGACUCCAAGUGCGAGGGCAUAUAGUCCUCGCUUUUUGCGACCGUAAGGUGGUCGCGGAAUAAGUGCUGGGCAAGACCGGUGCCAGCCGCCGCGGUAAUACCGGCAGCACGAGUGAUGACCGCUGUUAUUGGGCCUAAAGCGUCCGUAGCUGGCCGCGCAAGUCUAUCGGGAAAUCUCUCCGCUUAACGGAGAGGCGUCCGGUGGAAACUGUGUGGCUUGGGACCGGAAGACCAGAGGGGUACGUCUGGGGUAGGAGUGAAAUCCCGUAAUCCUGGACGGACCACCGGUGGCGAAAGCGCCUCUGGAAGACGGAUCCGACGGUGAGGGACGAAAGCUCGGGUCACGAACCGGAUUAGAUACCCGGGUAGUCCGAGCUGUAAACGAUGUCUGCUAGGUGUGACACAGGCUACGAGCCUGUGUUGUGCCGUAGGGAAGCCGUGAAGCAGACCGCCUGGGAAGUACGUCCGCAAGGAUGAAACUUAAAGGAAUUGGCGGGGGAG